rnacentral:lncRNA from 1 species
ACAGAUUAUAAGGAAGCAAUGUGAGUUGCAAAUGAGCGUGGAGAGAUUUGAACAAUUUAUGGUCUCACAUAUGAAUCACGAUUUCGAAGGAGGAGAUGAAGAGGACGAGGAAGAAGAUAAUUAAAUUUGUUGAAAUAUGAAACUUUUAAUAUGUAUUUUUAAAUUUUAUUUUUAUUUCAUCUUUAAUCAUGAAUUAUUUUUAUUUUG